rnacentral:lncRNA from 1 species
AAAGACAGCAGCAAACUGCAACAGAAGCUUUCCGUGAGCUUGAUGAGGCCAUGAUCGAAGUGGUGCUAGGUUGGAGCAGCAGUGUCAGGUCGGAGGUUGCGGAGAGCUCGGCCUAUAGCUGCCUCAGUGUGGCCACUGACGCAGACCUCACCAUCGCGAUGGAGGUUGGUGCUGCAGCCGUGGCAGCACUUGAGGGGAAGCUCGGAGCUGCUCGUAGGGGAGGUCCUCAGCACCAUCCGGGGCUCGGACGAGUGAGGUGACCCCGUAUCCACUCGAUGCCAGUGCCAUCAAUGGUGAGAUGCGAGCGGGGAGAGCUUGGAGGCUCGGAUCCGGCGAGGUCGACGUAGAUAGAAGGGAGGCGUGUGGGGGAACACGUCGGAAGCCCGGAUCUCAGGGCAUCGACACCAACAGGAGUUCUCAGGUCCAUCCAUUGGUGACCUGGAUGCAUCUGCCGAUGAGAUCAGUGGUGACAAGCUUGCGACGGCCGCCAAAUGCAGAAGGAAUGGAUAGGGGCUUCGGAACUGCUCGGGGGAGAGUUCCUUGGCGCUGUCGGAGGUGAGGCACGGGCGUGGCGAGCUCGGAGGUGCUCGUGGGUGAGUUCCCCAGCGCUGACGGAGGUGAGACAUGGGGGAGGCUUCAGAGCCUCUCGAACAGGCGGCUUCGGCCGUGCUGGGGGACUUCAGAAGCUCGGAUCCGGUGAGCUUGGUGCCUCAGAGCACCUUGGGAGCUUGGAUCCGGCAAGCUCGGUGCCAUUGAAAGCCAGGUGCACACAAAGAAGACCUUAGGGCCGCGGAUCCGGGGACCUCGGCUCGUGUGGGGAGGAAGUCAAGGCUGGAGCUCGAAGGGACCGGCGUUGUCAAUCGAAGGGAGCUGGGCGCACAGAGGCAGCCACGGGGGUCGUCGUGACAGACACCGGCCACGCAGGAGACCCCGAACGCAUUGGAGAACGAGGGACGCACAGGGGAGGCUCGUGGCCUCCCCCUCCUCCUCUUCUUCUUCACCGACGGGCCUCGAGGUUGGUCGAGCGCACGCUAGGUGCACGGGGGAGGCGUGAGGCCACCAGUGCCGGCCUUGGCACAGGCUGAAGAGGCUUGAGGUCACCGCGAGGGACGUCGGCCGGGC